rnacentral:misc_RNA from 1 species
UAUCUCGGCUUUUCAAGCAUUAAUGGUUCAGAAUCAAUGAAAACUUUUGCUCUUCUAGUUCAGGAAUUAGUGAUCUAUAAUCGAUGGUGAUUUUCCUUUGAAUGUCUUAACGCAAUGUAAAAUCAUCUUUUUUCUUGGGAUGGAAUGAAAUUGAUUUAAAAUCAGGUUGGUGUAUAAUUUGUUGUUAUGAUGAGUGGAAGUCUCCAAAAGUUUUUAUGUAGAAGUUAAGUGAAAAAUAUAUAUAAUGUCAGUGUUUUAGUUGAUCUCUCUUGUUUCCGUUUUAGCUGAUUCCUGUUUAUUUUUCUUAGGUUUCUAGUUGAACGAUGUUUACAUUUGAAAUCCCAUUUCCAUUCAUGUUUUUUGCUGUCAUUUUG